rnacentral:rRNA from 1 species
CAGCCAGCCGCGUGAGUGAGAAGGCCUUCGGGUUGUAAAGCUCUUUCGCUUGGGAAGAAAUCGUGGUCUCUAACAUAGGCCAUGGAUGACGGUACCGGACUAAGAAGCACCGGCUAACUACUUGCCAGCAGCCGCGGUAAUACGUAUGGUGCGAGCGUUAAUCGGAAUUACUGGGCGUAAAGCGUGCGCAUGCGGUUUUGUAAGACAGAUGUGAAAUCCCCGGGCUUAACCUGGGAACUGCGUUUGUGACUGCAAGGCUAGAGUACGGCAGAGGGGGGUGGAAUUCCUGGUGUAGCAGUGAAAUGCGUAGAGAUCAGGAGGAACACCGAUGGCGAAGGCAGCCCCCUGGGCCUGUACUGACGCUCAUGCACGAAAGCGUGGGGAGCAAACAGGAUUAGAUACCCUGGUAGUCCACGCCCUAAACGAUGUCGACUAGUCGUUCGGAGCAGCAAUGCACUGAGUGACGCAGCUAACGCGUGAAGUCGACCGCCUGGGGAGUACGGUCGCAAGGUU